rnacentral:rRNA from 1 species
CCUACGGGUGGCAGCAGUGAGGAAUAUUGGUCAAUGGGCGAGAGCCUGAACCAGCCAAGUCGCGUGAGGGAGUACUGCCCUAUGGGUUGUAAACCUCUUUUGUCGGGGAGCAAAAGCCGGACGUGUCCGGCUGUGAGAGUUCCCGAAGGAAAAGCAUCGGCUAACUCCGUGCCAGCAGCCGCGGUAAUACGGAGGAUGCGAGCGUUAUCCGGAUUUUUUGGGUUUAAAGGGUGCGCAGGCGGAUUUUUAAGUCAGCGGUCAAAUCGUGGGGCUCAACCCCAUCCAGCCGUUGAAACUGGGGAUGGAGAGUGUGCGAGAGGGAUGCGGAAUGCGUGGGGGAGCGGGGAAAUGCAUAGAUAGCACGCAGAACCCCGAUUGCGAAGGCAGCAUACCGGUGCACAACUGACGCUCAGGCACGAAAGCGUGGGUAUCGAACAGGAUUAGAGACCCUUGUAGUC